rnacentral:rRNA from 1 species
UACAGAGGGGGCAAGCGUUGUUCGGAAUUACUGGGCGUAAAGGGCGCGUAGGCGGCCCGCUAAGUCGAACGUGAAAUCCCCGGGCUCAACCCGGGAACUGCGUCCGAUACUGGAAGGCUUGAAUCCGGGAGAGGGAUGCGGAAUUCCAGGUGUAGCGGUGAAAUGCGCAGAUAUCUGGAGGAACACCGGUGGCGAAGGUGGCAUCCUGGACCGAGAUUGACGCUGAGGCGCGAAAGCCAGGGGAGCAAACGGG